UUCAGUUUGGUGUUGUCACUUUAAGAGUGACAGAAAGUGUGCCUCUAAUGGUUGGGUCACAUGACCUGUGAACAGAAAGUGAAAGAGCAUUAGAGAGCAUGGUGGUGUUUUUUAAUGGCAGUAGCAAUCCAUGGACAUCUGCCUGAACAUUCUUGUUUUUGAUAGCAUCGUGGUUUCACCCUUUUCUGAGGUACCAAUAAACCUGUGGACAAGCAGACAACGUCUUCAGAGUCUUGGUGUAAAGAAAGAGUUUAGCUGUCUGUCAAGGUGUAUACAGGACAUAUACUGAGGACAGAACAGUGAAUCUAAUUCUAUCUGUUCUAUAUUAUGGACUUAAAUCAACUCUGUGUGAACUUUAAAAAUCAGAACUGAAACAUGAAGAUGCAAAUAUAGAUUGCAAAUGCACACUCAGAUGUGCAAAUGUGAUCUGAGAAAUGUAAUGUAAACUCAAGGCGCCGAUUCAUUUUGAUCUUUGCCGGUCCCUGUAAUGGCUGCGGUGUUGUUGACUCCCUUCGAUGCAUCCUUUUUGCGAAACAUGAAUAAACAGGACAGCAUGGAAAGACCAAAGAAACUUGGAACCUUCGCCUGGUAGGGGGUUUGGUCUGAGGCGCUGUAUUUGCACAUCACAGUGCUGUAGUUCUGGAUGUAUUCUCUGAAUUACAUACACACAUUUUGGAAUACAAGUUGCCGAACACAGGUGUAAAUGCCCCAUAACACGACUUGCAAAUUGUAAGUGUUUCACCAGGCGGAGCUCUGAAAGUUCUGGCACACUCUGGAAAGCCGUUGCUCUGGUUUUAUAUGGUCUAUUAUGUAAUCUAACACAGGAGAAUAACUGAUACUGUAACCAUAUGUAUUUACUAUUAAAUUCUAUUCUUUUUUUUUUUUUCUAUUUCUACUUUAUUUAAUGUUUCUCUAUUCUUGUACAACUCUUGCUACUAUGUCUGUUUUACUGCAGGAACCCUAAUUUCCCCUUGGGGAUGAAUAAAGUAUUAUCUUAUUUUA